AGGCACAGAAGCUGCAGAGCAACACGAAGGAUCCUGUGGGCUUGAACAAAAAAGCAGUUACUCCACAGAAGACCAGAGGGGUCCUCCCAGCAUUCUGGCUCUACGAGGAAACUGAGACCCAGAGAUGGAGCUGGGAUUCAAAACAAUGUCCAGUGUGACUCCAGUGCCUUUCCUAACUCCUACCCCUUAAAGCCUCUGAGGAAUGCUGAAAAGAGCACAGGACAUAGAAUCCAGACUAAAAUGAUGAAAGUCAUCAACCUUAAAAGAAGCAAAAAAGAAGAGAAUUAGCUCCUCUGUGUAAUUUUUUAAAAUAUAGCAUCAAACCAUCUUCCCGUCAGCAACAGGCACUGCAGUAUUCAAGAUCAUCACAUGAGGGCAGAGGGCAUAAAAAAGGAUGGUGUGUUGAGACCAGAAGCAGCAGCAGUCCUCGACACCAAUUACAACCUUCCUUGCACAGUGCACACCCUCUGAUAUACUGAACCCAACGCCUAUCCUCCAGCCCCCUAAGUACUAGAGAGGGAGCCUCGCAACAUUCCAAUUUAAUCCUUCAGAAAAUUCAUUACUCUUCAAAGUUGUCUGUGGUUUUGUGACAAAGAUAUGACUAGGUGCAAAAUGGCUUGCAACUAAUUAACAAACACAGAAGCAUCCAACAAACAUAUACGUGUACAAUCUGAGGAUUUAGGGAUGAAAUCAGUUAUCCAGGUUAGACAUCAACAAAAGAGCAGUAAUUAUAAAGUUUCAUGAAGAAAGUGGCUGUUGAGGUGUGGAUUAUGAGAGUAAGACUGACAAAUAACAAGAAAUGAUUUUGUUAUAAUCAAGAAGUGAAACUAAAUAAAUGUUCUUUAAAUUGAUGGAUAAAUAAGAAUUUAUUUACAACAGUAAAUAAAUCCAAUACUUGUUAUAAAUAAGAUAAAGUUAGCUAUAAAUUCACAUUUUCAUGUGAGCGUUUUGAAGUAUGUAGACAAAGAAAAAACACACACCUCAAGUAUACUUCUCAAUGAUUUCUGAUAAAGAACACACCUUUGUAACCAGCACAUGCUGUGAAACCAGAAACAAAACAUUACCAGAUUCCUAAAGAAGCCUUCUUUGUGCCCCUUUUUAGUCACUACCCUCCCCCAUUCAAGGUAACUUCUGUCUUGACUUCUAACACCAUACUUUCAGUUUUGCCUAUGUUAACUUGAUAUAAAUAGAAUGAUACUGUAUAUUUUGUGUGUGUUUGGCUUCUUCUGCUCUAACUUUUGUUGGUAAGGUUCAUACCGAUUGUUAAAUACAGCCAUAGUUCAUUUAUUUCUAUUACUAUGUAGUAUACUUGGAUUCAGGAAUACACCAUAACUUAAUCAUCCAUUCUAUUGUUGACUGGCAUUUAGGUUAUAAGCACAUGCACAGAUGUAGAACAACCACUUUUAAAAAAUGGCUUGGCAAUUUUCUAAACAUACACAAAUUCUAUGAACCAGCAAUUCUAUCCCGUGUAUGUGUACAUAUACACACAUGUUAAAUAUAUACACAGAAACAUGCUGUGAAAGUGCUUUGCAAAUGGCAAAAUGUAAAAUGUAAGGAAUGUUACCAAAGAGCUGAAACGCACUGUGGCUUUCUUGCAACACAGAUUCUUGGACAUAUCAGAUAAUAAAUGUAUUUUGUACUGAAAAUAA
rnacentral:antisense_RNA from 1 species